rnacentral:rRNA from 1 species
UUUUUUAUGGAGAGUUUGAUCCUGGCUCAGGACGAACGCUGGCGGCGUGCUUAACACAUGCAAGUCGAACGGAAAGGCCUAGCUUGCUAGGUACUCGAGUGGC